rnacentral:rRNA from 1 species
AGAGUUUGAUCCUGGCUCGGGAUGAACGCUAGCUACAGGCUUAACACAUGCAAGUCGAGGGGAAACGACAUCGGAAGCUUGCUUUUGAUGGGCGUCGACCGGCGCACGGGUGAGUAACGCGUAUCCAACCUGCCCACCACUUGGGGAUAACCUUGCGAAAGUAAGACUAAUACCCAAUGACGUCUCUAGAAGACAUCUGAAAGAGAUUAAAGAUUUAUCGGUGAUGGAUGGGGAUGCGUCUGAUUAGCUUGUUGGCGGGGUAACGGCCACCAAGGCGACGAUCAGUAGGGGUUCUGAGAGGAAGGUCCCCANAUUGGAACUGAGACACGGUCCAAACUCCAACGGGAGGCA